rnacentral:rRNA from 1 species
AGUGAACGCUGGCGGUAGGCCUAACACAUGCAAGUCGAACGGCAGCACAGUAAGAGCUUGCUCUUACGGGUGGCGAGUGGCGGACGGGUGAGGAAUACAUCGGAAUCUACUUUUUCGUGGGGGAUAACGUAGGGAAACUUACGCUAAUACCGCAUACGACCUACGGGUGAAAGCAGGGGAUCUUCGGACCUUGCGCGAUUGAAUGAGCCGAUGGCGGAUUAGCUAGUUGGCGGGGUAAAGGCCCACCAAGGCGACGAUCCGUAGCUGGACUGAGAGGAUGAUCAGCCACACUGGAACUGAGACACGGUCCAGACUCCUACGGGAGGCAGCAGUGGGGAAUAUUGGACAAUGGGCGCAAGCCUGAUCCAGCCAUACCGCGUGGGUGAAGAAGGCCUUCGGGUUGUAAAGCCCUUUUGUUGGGAAAGAAAAGCAGCAGGUUAAUACCCCGCUGUUCUGACGGUACCCAAAGAAUAAGCACCGGCUAACUUCGUG